GGAGCCCUGCCUUUCUGAGUGGAGGGUAGCAAAGGACCAUCUUAGAAACUUGGCUGAGCUCUCAAACCAGCAGGAUUCAGAGGCAGAGCGCUGGGGACAAUGAAUGUCAACCAGAAGGUUCUAUGGGCUUCGAAGCUGUGAGAGUUAAGAUUGUCAAUUGGAAAAAACAGAACAUCUCCCAAGAGUCUCCUCUGGAUGUCUCUGAGGGAUUUUCUAGAUCAGAUCAGCUGAGGAGAGAUGACCUAUUCUGAAGGCACAAGGUGACGAGCCACCUCUGGCUCCUACUGGCAUAACUUCCUCAUCUCCUAUCGUGAGCUAAAAUAAAGCCUGCUCUCCUC
rnacentral:lncRNA from 1 species